rnacentral:rRNA from 1 species
GACGUAGGGGGCCAGCGUUGUUCGGAAUUACUGGGUGUAAAGGGUUCGUAGGCGGUGCGGCAAGUCGGGAGUGAAAUCUCUGGGCUUAACCCAGAGGCUGCUUCCGAAACUGCUGUGCUUGAGUGUGGGAGAGGCGCGUGGAAUUGCAGGUGUAGCGGUGAAAUACGUAGAUAUCUGCAGGAACACCCGUGGCGAAAGCGGCGCGCUGGACCACUACUGACGCUGAGGAGCGAAAGCCAGGGGAGCAAACGGG